GACGAACGCUGGCGGCGUGCUUAACACAUGCAAGUCGAACGGAAAGGCCCUGCUUUUGUGGGGUGCUCGAGUGGCGAACGGGUGAGUAACACGUGAGUAACCUGCCCUGACUUUGGGGUUACUUUCGGAAACUGGGGCUUAUUACGGGAAAGGAGUCCCGCCGCCUGGUGGGGGGUGGGAAGGUUUCGGCGGUUGGGGAUGGACUCGCGGCUUAUCAGCUUGUUGGUGGGGUAGUGGCUUACCAAGGCUUUGACGGGUAGCCGGCCUGAGAGGGUGACCGGCCACAUUGGGACUGAGAUACGGCCCAGACUCCUACGGGAGGCAGCAGUGGGGAAUAUUGCACAAUGGGCGGAAGCCUGAUGCAGCAACGCCGCGUGCGGGAUGACGGCCUUCGGGUUGUAAACCGCUUUCGCCUGUGACGAAGCGUGAGUGACGGUAAUGGGUAAAGAAGCACCGGCUAACUACGUG
rnacentral:rRNA from 1 species